AAAGAGAAAAUAGACAAAAGACAAAAGGUGGCUUGCAGAAGAUCAUACAAAGCAUCCAUGCCUGUACUUACCGUGGCACCUAGGGGACGUCUCCUAGAGAGGGUCCAUUGCUCUGUGUUCUACCUAAAGUGAAAGUUAAGAAAUGUGGAGAAAGUCAGGGCAGUGACUUUGGAAUGGCAGGUGCCCACAGGAGAGGGGUGGGGCAGGCAACAAGCAGGAAGUUCCCAAGUAGGUGGAGCUCUGGGAUAGUCUUUGGGUCUAAAGUAAUGAAAGGUAUUUUGAAAUACAGGCUGGAGUGUCAGCAGUCCUGUUAUAAGAAAACCCAAAAAUUAUAGUGAAGGGAGAAUUGGAGCUCAGGAAAAAGCAGAGAGAUUUUACAAGGCAGCAUUGGGGACAAUCUCUGAGGGGAAUUUAGACUGCUUUUCUCUGAUGCUAUGGGGUUAUUCUCUUGCUGUAUAAAUUCCCUGUGGCUCCCUAUUUUCUGUUUAUGUCCCUUACAAAGUGGUCUCUGGCAUGUGACUGGCCAUAAUGAGGUAGGGCUGAGAAAAUGAGCAGCAUGGGGACCAGGUCAUGUGUUCAGCUGUGGGGAUGGAAGUGGGGAACAGAAAAGAUGAGCUGAUCAUCUGAAGCAUUCAAGUUCAAGAUAAGAUGCAUUAUGUGGCUUCUAUAGGCAAGUCUUUGUUCUCAGUACUAUUAGAGAGAAAAAGAAAGAAAGAAAGAAAGAAAGAAAGAAAGAAAGAAAGAAAGAAAGAAAGAAAGAAAGAAAGAAAGAAAGAAAGAAAGAAAGAAAGAAAGAAAAAAGAAAGAAAGAAAGAAAGAAAGAAAGAAAGAAAGAAAGAAAGAAAGAAAGAAAGAAAGGAAGGAAGAAAGAAAGGAAGGAAGGAAGAAAGAAAGAAAGAAAGAAAGAAAGGAAGAAAGAAAGAAAGGAAGAAAGAAAGAAAGAAAGAAAGAAAGAAAGAAAGAAAGAAAAGAUAUAUGAACU
rnacentral:lncRNA from 1 species